UGAUAAUGUUUUAACACUAAUUUGGGUUAAGAAAACUGUUUCCCAUUGCUCGGUGUAAGACUGUGAAUGGUCGUUUACACAUAUUAACAUACAAUGUGCUUUUAUUUACCUGCUGUACUUUGCUUGACCUGUUGGGAGACAAGAAUAUAGCAAUUAACUUAAAAUACUGAUUUGUCGAUAUGCAGUAUUAUAAUCGUGUUAAAUUUAAAACUAAGUCUACACGAUGCAAGAUGCAGUUGUCUCGGUUGUCAAGGUCCGUGGUUAACCAGAUAAGUAUAAUGAUGCCUGGUUGAGCACUUGACAAUAACAUCGUAAAAUCAAACGUUGGAUUUAAAAAGAAAAUGAAAGAUUUGCCAAUUUCUCAACUGAGACAAGUGAAUGAUAGGAUUUAGGAUUAUUCUUUACCAAGAAAAUCACAAUUACAUUUCAUCAGAAGCAUACAACGAAAAACAGAUUUCGGACAACCAUUGUCAAGAAACAUUUCUCCAAAUUCAUCUAACCUGAAUGGGGAAUUAAAACCAGCAUACAAGACUAUUCGCUGGAUGACUGCAACGGUAGUGAAAUCACAUGUGUGGUACGGCUAAUCCGAGCCUUCGAUAAAUAAAAUAAAUUGAAAGUA